GGCGGGGCUGCUCCCGGGGACCCGCGUCCCCAGCCCCUGGGCGCCACGGCCGGAGCCAAACCGGUCGGGAGGGGCGGGGGCCGGGCUGUGGCGGGGCCGGCGGGCGAGUGGCCGCGCAGCCCGGGGGUGGGGGGCGGGGGAGUGCGGCGCUCCCGCCGGCCUCCACCCCGGGCCGGGACGGUCUCGGGGCCUGGAUGGGGCCGUGCCCACUCCCCAAGACCCACCGGGUUAACGACCACUUGGAGACUGCGGAGGCGUGAAGGAGGCAGGGGCGAGGCUUUCAAUUCUGGGAGGUCCAGAGACGCCCAGUAAUUCGGGGAUGGGAGAAGUCAGAGAUGGCCGGCGGGGACCCCAAAUCUUCAAUCUUGUCCUCCCUGCAAGAGAGCCCUGUGACAGUGCCCUGGCUGCAUUUGACCUGGUUGACAGAGGAAAGUGCUCCCAGGAGACUGCCUCCCAGAAGCAGAGGCUCUGCCUGCAAACUGGUCCAGUGGUCCACGGGGACAGAUGCCAUCUCUCUCUCCCAAGAGGCCCAGGGACUCACUCCUGGUCACUCAGUCCCCUUCCAGUCCUCUUCCCAUCACCCAACACCCACCUAUUCACUGGUCUUUGCUCCCCCCACCCUCCUGUCAGAAAGGGACACUCUUCCAUCGGUGAAAGUUGCAUUUAAUGCUCACAUCAUCAUAAAGCAGACACACAACCCCAACCCCAGAAUCCAACCUGUGACCAUCUCACCCGAUAAUGACUAUUCCCCUUAAACACAGAGGAGGAAAUUAACUCCGUUCUAAUUAGGGUGUGAUUUUGAAAACAGCCUUCAGGGGGACAGAAGAGAGGCCUACUUCUUUGGGGAAAGAAGCCCAGAAGGACAAAAGGAAGCAUGGGGCUCUGAGGUCAAUAUCACUGCCUCCUCCCCACCCUCUGGAUAUCAUUUACAUGACCUGUCUGGGGGCUGCCUGUGUUAGACUCAGAUCUCUGGGACUGGACAAGUCAUCCAGGAAGCCUGGGGUGAGGUGAGGGGAAGAAGGGCUUAGAGAGGCAUUAGCCACUCUGCCGAGAUGCCCAGCAGCCCUGGGCAGUGUUCUGACCCCAGGUCCCCUUCAGUUUCUUCAGCCCAGGGGCACCUCUUAUCAGCAGCGCCAACUCUAUACUACCCUCAGGUAGAAGGGACCUCAGCAGGCUCCAUCCUCUGAACAUUUAUUUUUUAUUUUUAUUUAUUUUUAAGAUUAUUAUUUAUUCAUGAGAGACACACAGAGAGAGGCAGAGACAUAGGCAGAGAGAGAAGUGGGCUCCCUGCAGGGAGCCCAAUGCAGGACUCCAUCCUAGGACCCCAGGAUCACACCCUGAGCCAAAGGCAGACACUCAACCACUGAGCCACCCAGGUGCCCUGGUACUCUAAACUUUUACUGAGUUCCUACUGAGUGCCAGUGGCAGAGCUUCAGGAAUAUAGAAAUAAAUAGGGUCUGGACCCUGCCCUCCAGAAAGUGUUUAUCUGGAGGUGACAGCCAGGGAAGGCCAAAGGAGUAUAGAAACCCAAAGGACAGGUUUCUUGAGGGUCUAAGAAGACUUGCUAAAGGAAAUGUCCCCAGAACAAAGCAAAAUGAGAUACCUGAAGAGAAGGCAUUCUAGGCAGAGGGAACAGCCCAGGCACAGGCUGGGCCUGUGAAGCAAUGUAGUAUGGCACGGGAACUAUAAGGAACCUGGCAUGGCUGGCCAUGAGGGCAGGGUGCUUCCUGUGAGGAGCCCAGCCUGGAAGGGACAGUGCAAAGGGCUGUGGAUUUCCUGAGAAAGGAGCUUUGACUUUACCUAAGGUCUAUGGGGAGGCACAGAAGGACUGUGAUCAGCAGAGUAAUAAUUUAGCAGAUCUUUCUGGGGGUUCUUGGAUGGCUCAGUCAAUUAGGCAUCUGACUUGAUUUUUGGCUCAGGUCAUGAUUUCAGGCGGGUGAGAUCCAGCCCCACGUUGGGCUCCAUGGUGGGCAUGGUAUCUGCUUAAGAUUCUCUCUCUCUCUCUCUGCGCCUCCCUCUGCCCCUCUCCUGUUCACACACAUGCAUAUAUGCUCUCUUUUUCUCUCAAAUAAAUAAAUAAAUAAAUACCCUUCCAGGGGUGCCUGGAUGGCACAAUCAGUUGAGUAUCAGACUCUUCAUUUCAGAUCAUGACCUGAUCUCAGGGUUUUGGGAUUGAGCUCCACGUCAGGCUCCACACUCAGCACAAAGUCUGCUUAAAUCCUUCUCUUCCUUUGCCUCUGUCCCUCCCCACUGUGUGCUCACUCUUGCUUUCUC
rnacentral:lncRNA from 1 species